rnacentral:rRNA from 1 species
GACGAACGCUGGCGGCGUGCCUAACACAUGCAAGUCGAACGGACAGGCCCUGCUUUUGUUGGGGGCUCGAUUGGCGAACGGGUGAGUAACACGUGUGUAACCCGCCCUUGACUUUGGGAUAACUUCAGGAAACUGGGGCUAAUACCGGAUAGGAUCUUCUGAUGCAUUGUGUGGGUUGGAAAGUUUCGGUUGUUGGGGAUGGUCUCGCGGCUUAUCAGCUUGCUGGUCGGCUAGUCGCGUACCAAGGCUUUGACGGGUAGCCGGCCUUAGAAGGUGACCGGCCACAUUGUGACUGAGAUACGGCCCAGACUGCUACCAGCGGCAGUGGUGGGCAUCCUGGCACAAUGCGCGCGAGCCGGAUCCAGAAACGACGCGUUCGGGAUACCGGCCUUAGGGUUAAAAACCGCUUUCGCCUGUGCCGAGCCGUGAGUGACGGUACUUUGUAAAGAAGCACCGGCUAACUACGUG